rnacentral:lncRNA from 1 species
UGCAGGGGUGCCCCAACUAGUCCAUCACAAAUUACCACAAGCCGCAUAGAAAUCCUCAAUCACGAAGCUCGCGAUCUCGUCGGAUUCCCUAGUGGAAAACCUCAACUCUGAGAUUACCCAAAGCAUCAUCGGAAUCCCGAUGCACAAGAUAUUUCGUCAAAGGUAAAACUAAUCCAGCAAGGCCGCCCGACGUGUCGACGAUCCCGAUAGGAGUCGCGUACCUCGUUCUCAGGACAUGACGGAUGAGCUAU